rnacentral:rRNA from 1 species
UCAGAGGGUGCAAGCGUUAAUCGGAAUUACUGGGCGUAAAGCGUGCGUAGGCGGUUUCGUAAGUCGGAUGUGAAAAGCCCCGGGCUCAACCUGGGAAUUGCAUUCGAGACUGCGAAGCUCGAGUGCGGAAGAGGGAAGUGGAAUUUCCGGUGUAGCGGUGAAAUGCGUAGAUAUCGGAAGGAACAUCAGUGGCGAAAGCGACUUCCUGGUCCAGCACUGACGCUCAGGCACGAAAGCGUGGGGAGCAA